AGAGAGAGAGGGAGUGCGAGAGAGAGAUCGUUCGAUUCUAACGGCGGCGAGGCAGAGAGAGAGAGAGACCGUUCGAUCCUAACGGCGGCGAGAGAGAGAGAGAGACCGUUCGAUCCUAACGGCGGCGAGAGAGAGAGACCGUUCGAUCCUAACGGCGGCGAGAGAGAGAGAGACCGUUCGAUCCUAACGGCGGCGAGAGAGAGCAAGCGGACCUGAAGAACAAGUCAGAGGAGGUCUUGACUCUUGCGUGUUCGUGGACGAGGACUGAGACGAUGAUUUGAUUCGACUCAGAAAAAACACGGUCGCCGGCGUGCGUGCGUGUUCGGUGACUCAAACUGAUCGAUUACAAAAUAAAAGAUCUUUGUCUUAUCGGCGUUGUUCUUCUUGUUAUCGUUUUUUUUCUUCUUUUUCUUUCUUUCUUUCUUUCUUUCUUUCUUUCUUUCUAAUGUAUUGAUUCUUUUCACUGCUAAGUUUGUUGUCAGGACGGUGAUGUGUGGUUUGGUUGAGCUGUCAUGAUGCGUCUCUGGAGGUUUAGCACUUUGAGCCCAAUUGAUCUCUUUAUCUAUCAUGUCUUCUUAGCUUCUAUCAUGUUGUUAGUCGAAGCUUUAACAAUGCCAAUGACAAGAGACUGCUUCUGCCCCCAGCUUCCUGCUAGUUCCAAUUCUUACAUGACAAGUGAUCCUGGUGUUGUGAACUACUUCAAUCUUUUGUUAGAGAGAUGAAGCUCAAUCGUCAAGUCAGGCAAAUGAUGGAGAUAUUAUCAAGGAUGAUGCUAAACUCGUGGACCCAAAUGAUGGUAGAAUUCUCUUCACUGUACCAGAAUUCAGGGCAAAACCCUUGAUUUUACUGAGCCAAAUGGAGUCCAGAAGCAGGUUUGCUUACAAUGCUUGAAGCUAAGUAUAAGAUUGGAGAUAUGCUAUGGUUUGAAGAAUGAAUAAGAUUCAGAACCAAAAAGGUAAAACAUCAAACUGAUUCUUCUUGUUAUAGGUGUCUUUGACUCAAUACAUCUUCCGUUCUCGUCCACUUCGAUUUCCCAAUCUUUAAGUCAGUAAGUUGCUUUAAACACACAGAUUUACUUUAUUUCAAUUUUAUAAACUGUAAUGCAUUUUCAGAUACUCGAAGAGAGCUAAAUGGUGUCAUGAGUGUUUUCUUUGUUUCUUGUUUUUCUUUCUAUCAACAGUGUAACAAGAAUCUCAGGUUUAUGUUUCGUUUUGCAGGUUUUCAUAAAGUGGAUGUGUUUGGAAAAAAACAUUUUGCAGUAAAUUUUUUUUUUUUUGAGCUCUUCACAGUAACGUUUUUGAGUUAUGUUUGGUUAGGCUGAAGGGAAAGAAGAAGGAGAAAAUGAUGAAGAAGUUGAAGAAUCAGAGGGAGAAGAAUCUGAUUACAGAGGUUAUUAUGAGAAUCAAGACUUCAAUGAUGGUGACAGGCGAUUAAAAUUAGGCAGAUGAUGGAGGGAUAAAUAUGGGGAUAUUAAAUAGUGGGUUUCUUUCUUUCUUUGGGCUGAAACAGGUGUGUGUUCGUGUUUUCCAACCAAGACGAUGAUUGAAGAAAGAAGAAGGUUCAUAGCAAAGCAAUCAGAUGAUGCUCUUCUCGGAGCUGUUGGAUGGUA